UUAAUUGGAGAAAAGAUUGGUCUAAUAGCAGUAAAGUACAAAUCUAGAAAUAGGAAAGUACCGUACAACUUACAUUUUCACUCUAGAACCUUCAAUUCUCAUCUUCUUUCCAAAAUUUCCAUCUAGUUUUCCCGUUCAAUUUUUACAAUUCAGAAUUUAGAACAUUCAUGUUCUAGAAGAAAUUGAAAGAAUGCCUAUACAUGAUAUCUUUCUGCAAUAUGAUAGAAUAGCCUACACUCCUUGAAGCAGACAAGACCUAGAGCUCUUGAAUAGCAAAUGAAAUGGAAAGAAAUUAGAAUAGAAGAUGAUGUCAUUGAACGAUUUCGUCAUAAUUUUGAGAAGCACACAAACUCUUAGGUAAGCUCGGUGUUCUAAGCCAAAUACAGAUCUUUGUCAAAAAUGAAAGCAAAGAGAUAUGGUCUCAUAAAAGUGUUAAAGAUUCAGGGUCACUCCUGCAUACCAAGUUGAAAGAAGCUAUUAUUCUGUAUAUCAUACGAACGGAGCCAAGUAAUAUGAAAGUGAAGGAGUAAUUCGGGAGCAACAUCUGGUGGAGUUGCCUUUUGCGAAUAAAAGAGUUGCCUUCUGCGAAUAAAAUCAACAAUGCAAGAAGUAAGUGGUUUGAAAUUAGGUUCAUAAAGUAACCGUCUUUUGAAUUUGCCCAAAUAAUACCUUCUCGACGACACCGGCAACGAAGAAGAUGACAAUGACAAUGUCAGUCUCUGAAAUGCAUUUUGGUUCAGUUGUUGCUGCAAGGAUUUUGUUUUUGCGAUUAUAUUUAAAAGAGUGUUGCUUCAGUUGCUAUAAAUUUAUCCAUCUACGACAAAUUGACAGUGUAUUCAACAACACUGAUUCCUUUGAUUGUGAAGUUGCAUUUGACCUAUGUUUUUCUGUUU